rnacentral:rRNA from 1 species
AUUGAACGCUGGCGGCAGGCUUAACACAUGCAAGUCGAGCGGGGUGAUGGUGCUUGCACUAUCACUUAGCGGCGGACGGGUGAGUAAUGCUUAGGAAUCUGCCUAUUAGUGGGGGACAACAUCUCGAAUGGGAUGCUAAUACCGCAUACGUCCUACGAGAGAAAGCAGGGGAUCACUUGUGACCUUGCGCUAAUAGAUGAGCCUAAGUCGGAUUAGCUAGUUGGUGGGGUAAAGGCCUACCAAGGCGACGAUCUGUAGCGGGUCUGAGAGGAUGAUCCGCCACACUGGGACUGAGACACGGCCCAGACUCCUACGGGAGGCAGCAGUGGGGAAUAUUGGACAAUGGGGGGAACCCUGAUCCAGCCACGCCGCGUGUGUGAAGAAGGCCUUAUGGUUGUAAAGCACUUUAAGCGAGGAGGAGGCUCUUUUGGUUAAUACCCAAGAUGAGUGGACGUUACUCGCAGAAUAAGCACCGGCUAACUCUGUGCCAGCAGCCGCAGUAACAC